ACGACGUCGAAAGCUUGCUUUCGAUGGGCGUCGACCGGCGCACGGGUGAGUAACGCGUAUCCAACCUGCCCACCACUUGGGGAUAACCUUGCGAAAGUAAGACUAAUACCCAAUGAUAUCUCUAGAAGACAUCUGAAAGAGAUUAAAGAUUUAUCGGUGAUGGAUGGGGAUGCGUCUGAUUAGCUUGUUGGCGGGGUAACGGCCCACCAAGGCUACGAUCAGUAGGGGUUCUGAGAGGAAGGUCCCCCACAUUGGAACUGAGACACGGUCCAAACUCCUACGGGAGGCAGCAGUGAGGAAUAUUGGUCAAUGGACGAGAGUCUGAACCAGCCAAGUAGCGUGCAGGAUGACGGCCCUAUGGGUUGUAAACUGCUUUUAUAAGGGAAUAAAGUGAGUCUCGUGAGGCUUUUUGCAUGUACCUUAUGAAUAAGGACCGGCUAAUUCCGUGCCAGCAGCCGCGGUAAUACGGAAGGUCCGGGCGUUAUCCGGAUUUAUUGGGUUUAAAGGGAGCGUAGGCCGGAGAUUAAGCGUGUUGUGAAAUGUAGAUGCUCAACAUCUGCACUGCAGCGCGAACUGGUUUCCUUGAGUACGCACAAAGUGGGCGGAAUUCGUGGUGUAGCGGUGAAAUGCUUAGAUAUCACGAAGAACUCCGAUUGCGAAGGCAGCUCACUGGAGCGCAACUGACGCUGAAGCUCGAAAGUGCGGGUAUCGAACAGGAUUAGAUACCCUGGUAGUCCGCACGGUAAACGAUGGAUGCCCGCUGUUGGUCUGAAUAGGUCAGCGGCCAAGCGAAAGCAUU
rnacentral:rRNA from 1 species